GACGAACGCUGGCGGCGUGCUUAACACAUGCAAGUCGAACGGAAAGGCCCUGCUUUUGUGGGGUGCUCGAGUGGCGAACGGGUGAGUAACAUGUGAGUAACCUGCCCUUGACUUUGGGAUAACUUCAGGAAACUGGGGCUAAUACCGGAUAGGAGCUCCUGCUGCAUGGUGGGGGUUGGAAAGUUUCGGCGGUUGGGGAUGGACUCGCGGCUUAUCAGCUUGUUGGUGGGGUAGUGGCUUACCAAGGCUUUGACGGGUAGCCGGCCUGAGAGGGUGACCGGCCACAUUGGGAAGGAGACAGGGCCCAGACUCCUCGGGGAGGAAGCGGGGGGAAAUUUGGAACAGGGGGGGGAAGCCUGAUGCAGCAACGCCGCGUGGGGGAUGAGGGCCUUGGGUUGGAAAACCGCUUGCGCUUGUGACGAGGGGGGAGGGAGGGUAAUGGGUAAAGAAGCCCCGGCUAACUACGUG
rnacentral:rRNA from 1 species